UACAGAGGUCUCAAGCGUUGUUCGGAUUCAUUGGGCGUAAAGGGUGCGUAGGCGGCGCGGUAAGUCGGGUGUGAAAUCUCGGAGCUUAACUCCGAAACUGCAUUCGAUACUGCCGUGCUUGAGGACUGGAGAGGAGACUGGAAUUUACGGUGUAGCAGUGAAAUGCGUAGAGAUCGUAAGGAAGACCAGUGGCGAAGGCGGGUCUCUGGGACGGUACUGACGCUGAGACGCGAAAGCGUGGGGAGCGAACAGG
rnacentral:rRNA from 1 species